rnacentral:rRNA from 1 species
GAUGAACGCUAGCGGCAGGCUUAAUACAUGCAAGUCGAGGGGUAGCAAGAUUGUAGCAAUACAAUUGUUGACGACCGGCAAACGGGUGCGGAACACGUACACAACCUUCCUACAAGUGGGGAAUAGCCCAGAGAAAUUUGGAUUAAUACCCCGUAACAUAGCGAUGUGGCAUCACAUUGCUAUUAUAGCUUCGGCGCUUGUUGAUGGGUGUGCGGCUGAUUAGAUAGUUGGCGGGGUAACGGCCCACCAAGUCUACGAUCAGUAGCUGAUGUGAGGGCAUGGUCAGCCACACGGGCACUGAGACACGGGCCCGACUCCUACGGGAGGCAGCAGUAAGGAAUAUUGGACAAUGGACGCAAGUCUGAUCCAGCCAUGCCGCGUGAAGGAUUAAGGUCCUCUGGAUUGUAAACUUCUUUUAUAAGGGACGAAAAAAGGUCUUUCUAGAUCGUCUGACGGUACCUUAUGAAUAAGCACCGGCUAACUCCGUGCCAGCCGCCGCCGUAACAC